rnacentral:rRNA from 1 species
UACGGGGGGGGCAAGCGUUGUUCGGAAUUACUGGGCGUAAAGGGUUCGUAGGUGACUUGUUAAGUCAGACGUGAAAUCCCUCGGCUCAACCGGGGAACUGCGUCUGAGACUGAUGAGCUCGAGUGCAGGAGAGGAACGCGGAAUUCCAGGUGUAGCGGUGAAAUGCGUAGAUAUCUGGAGGAACACCGGUGGCGAAGGCGGCGUUCUGGACUGCAACUGACACUGAGGAACGAAAGCCAGGGGAGCAAACGGG